UACGUAGGGUGCAAGCGUUGUCCGGAAUUAUUGGGCGUAAAGCGCGCGUAGGCGGUUUAGCAAGUCGGGUGUGAAAACUUCAGGCUCAACCUGGAGAUGCCACUCGAGACUGCUAUGACUUGAGUCUGGUAGGGGAGCACGGAAUUCCUGGUGUAGCGGUGAAAUGCGCAGAUAUCAGGAGGAACACCGGUGGCGAAGGCGGCAUCCCUGGACCGACACUGACGGCUGAGGAAGCGGAAAGCCAGGGGAGCAAACGGG
rnacentral:rRNA from 1 species